rnacentral:misc_RNA from 1 species
CUAUUUUAUUAACCCAAUCAAAGAAAGCCUAAGUACAAUUUAUAAAUAAAAAGAUAAUUAAAUUGAACAAAAAUUAAAAAAAAAUUGAAAAUUUUAAUUUAUCCUACUCCACCGCUACAGAUCCCCGUAAGUGAUACCGGAAAUCUACAAAGAAUCCCAGCCGUUGAUGUACCACCGUCAACCUCACUGGCCGGAGGCAGAACUCUCCCAUCGGCAAACAGCAUACGUCCAUUUACUCCAUUCCUCGGUUGAGCCACCAUCACACCUGCAAGCUCCACCGCAGCAUCACCGUAGAAAGCUCCAUCUCCAAACCUCCUUUCAACCUCUAGAAAUUCUCCAAGGGACGCCGGCUUUGCCUCUCCAGCACUACAAAGCCUCCACCAUCUUCGGCGCCGAAGGAGCUCCGCUGGAUCUCUUUUAUUCUUCUUUUUCUUGUUGUUGCGAUCAGUGCCUGUGGACGACGAAGCGGCGCCGGAGCCAGCAUUCGAGUUCGUGUCACGUGGCUGAGGGGACGCUCUGAAAGUAAUGGCAGUUAAAGUGACGCCCAUGAGAGUGCCUAAUGUGGUGCUUCUAUCAUGGAAGAAGGAGCCUGUGGACUGGGGACCCAGAGAAAAAUUAAAGAAGAAUUAAUCAUGAAGAAAUGGGUGUUGUGAGAAAGGGUGGAUGGAUACCUCAGUGUCGAGAUCGGAGGAGGAGACGGCAGAGCUGUUCGGAGAAAACGGCGGUGGAAGCAUGUCGUUGGUUGGAUCUGACAUCGCUCUCUCGCUGUGGAUGUGUAGUCUAGCAGUGUAGGGUAGCCAAGCGAGUAGCAAGCUUAUACUUUUGCCAAGUAUUGGGGGGUACGAGACGAGAAGAGAAUGGAGAGAGUCGCAGAGAGAGACAACGAAGGUGAGGGUCAUGAUUUCAUUGAUUUGUCG